GCAAAGACCAGCAAAACUCAAGUGAAAUUUCAGCAAAACUCAAGUGAAAUUUCAGCAAAACUCAAGUGAAAUUUCAGCAAAACUCAAGUGAAAUUUCAGCAAAACUCAAGUGAAAUUUCAGCAAAACUCAAGUGAAAUUUGAAGUAAAAAGAAAGAGGUGACUUCUGCAAUUAGAAAAAAUAGACAUUGAUUUCAUUUAUAAAGACCUUCAAUAGAGAGCUAUAGCUUAAUUUUUAAAAACAAACCUGGAUUUUAGGAACGGUACCACCAUUAUUGUGGUUUGUUUUGCUGAUUUUUCUCCAACAAAUCAGUUCUGCAUUGGAAAUUAGGAGUCACUCUGAUUAAGAAUUUAUGUUAUUCACUCUCGUAGGUAUCUCUAUUUCUAGCAGAGGAGUUGGAAGACACGUUCUGCUGGACGCAUCUUUUCGAAGGGGUGGGGGAGUGGAAUUGUGUGUGCGGAAAAUUCGAUGUUCUUGGUUAUGUUUUCUUAUAGAAGCGACG
rnacentral:lncRNA from 1 species